UCCAUCCUUCCAUCCAUCCAUCUUUCCUUCCAUCCAUCCAAAAGCUUUUCCUGCUUUUUUAUGGAAUCGAAUGAGAAUCGCUAUUAAAAACAAUACCAACCAUGACUGACUUUUAAUGUCUCUCGCCCUUCUUUGGACUGUGCUAACAAACCUCCAAACGAGCUUCAAUGCCAUACAACACUCCUUCCGAGGCCUCCAUCUGCUUUUACAUGCAAGUAAAACUAAGUGCAUGAUCUUCAACAGAUUGCUGCCCACAUCUUCCCGCCCGACUAGCAUCACUACUCUGGACGGUUCUGACUUAGAAUAUGUUGACAACUACAAAUAUCUGGGUGUCUGGUUAGACCGUAAACUCUCCUUCCAGACUUCCAGACUAAACAUCUCCAAUCCAAAAUUAAAUCUGGAAUCGGCUUCCUAUUUCGCAAACAAAGCCUCCUUUACUCAUGCUGCCAAACAUACCCUCGUAAAACUGACUAUCCUGCCGAUCCUUGACUUCGGCGAUGUCAUUUACAAAAUAGUCUCCAGCCCUCUACUCAGCAAACUGGAUGUAGUCUAUCACAGUGCUAUCCAUUUUGUCACCAAAACCCCAUACAAUACCCCUACCCACCACUGCGACCUGUAUGCUCUCGUUGGCUGGCCCUCAAUACAUAUAUUCUUUGCCAAACCCACUGGCUCCAGGUCAUCUAUAAGUCUAUGCUAGGUAAAGCCCGCCUUAUCUCAGCUUACUGGUCACCAUUGCAACACCCACCCAUAGCACGCGCUCCAGCAGGUAUAUUUCACUGGUCAUCCCCAAAGCCAACACUUCCUUUGGCUGACUUUCCUUCCAGUUCUCUGCUGUCAAUGAUUGGAACGCAUUGCAAAAAUCACUGUAGCUGGUGUCUUAUAUCUCCCUCGCUAACUUUAAGCAUCAGCGGUCAAACAGCUUACCGAUCACUGUACCUGUACACAGCCAAUCUGUAAAUUGCACACCCAACUAUCUCAUCCCCAUAUUGUUACUUGUCCUCUUGCUCUUUUGCACCCCAGUAUCUUUCCUUGCACAUCAUCAUCUGCACAUCUAUCACUCCAGUGUUAUUGCUAAAUUGUAAUUAUUUUGCCUCUAUGGCCUAUUUAUUGCCUUACCUCCCUACUCUUCUACAUUUGCACACACUGUACAUAGAUUUUUCUAUUGUGUUAUUGACUGUACGUUUGUUUAUGCGUAACUCUGUGUUGUUGUUUUUGUCGCACUGCUUUGCUUUAUCUUGGUCAGGUCGCAGUUAUAAAUGAGAACUUGUUCUCAGCUGGCCUACCUGGUUAAAUAAAGUUCAAAAAAUUAAAUAUAUAUAUUUUUAAAAUCACUGUUUCUGUUAUAUUAUAGGUGGAAGUCAACCCCUCGUUAGACAUGGCUGAGUCAGACUUCCAGAACAACGUGAUGAGAUGUCGAUGCAAAUACGACGGACACAGAGCGUACAUGUAUGGAUGUCACGCAGGUGAUGCGUACAGUGCAGAGAUUGAGGACCUGUUUGAUCACCAAAGGCAGAUCUCCAAUAACUUUGUCUAGGCCCAUCCAGGGCCCAGCGUUGGCCCAGGCUGGUGCCCAGCAAAGAGGGCUCAGAGCUGGAGCCAAAACUGCUCAGGGUGCCCUGGGGUCUGGAGGUCUGGUGGGUCGUGGGAUCCUGCCCCACAACACUAGGGGACUCACAAAAUGGCACCUGUCCACUGCCCUUACCUGCUGUGGACUACACUACCCAGAAUAAACCACAACUAGGAGACCAUUACCCUGACUAUAGCUUUCGACCCCAACAGCCAAUAGAAACUGAGAGCAGGACAGAUGUCACCAGGGAAACCAAAUGAUUUCAGUUAACAAUGGAGGGUUACAAUGAUAUGGAUUCAAUCAAGGUUUAGGUAUUUUGUUAGUUUAUGAAUGUGGACUACUAGUAACUUAGCUACUCAAAAUUUCUGUGAAUUAAUUCAUUUCAAUUAAAGUUGAAAUUAUAAUUGUACAUCUAACAUACCAACCUGAUCAAAGAGCAUUUCGUAUGAUUAUGUAUGUAAAUCCCUGAUACUCCUUUUCGUAUGAUAUGUUACAUUUCGUAUGGUAUGUAUCAAUUUGUGGAUGUCCAUCACCCAUUUCAUAUACUUUGUUCAUAUUAUAUGUUAGGAAUUUUCUAAAUUCAAAACAGGUUACGAAUUUACAAAACACAUGAUAUUUUAUGAAUUCUAGUAAAGUGGCUAGCUGGCUAAUGUUAGCUAGGCUAGGGGUUAGGGUUAUGUUUAGGAGUUAGGUUAAAGGUUUAAGGUUAGGGUUAGGGGAAGGGUUAUCUAACAUGCUAAGUAGUAGCAAAGUAGCUAUAAGGCAGUAAGUAGUUAAAAAGUUGCUAAUUUGCUAAAAUAGUCAAGUUGACCGUGAUGAGAUUCAAACUCGCAAACUUUGGGUUGCUAGACGUUUGCGUUAAUUGCCUACUGAUCCACCCUGACCAACCACCCAUACGCCCACCCGUCCACCCCACCACCACCCAUACGCCCACCCGUCCACCCCC
ensembl:lncRNA